UUGUGUGCAAAGAUCCUCCCUCUCCUUGACAAGUGCAGACCUUUUUCAACUGAGAGGCCCAGGCCAGAUUCUUCGUUAUAAUUAAGUAGUCCUUAGGGGGGGGGGAGGAAGGAUUCAGCAGCUAAGUUGGACUGACUAAGGGAAUGGUGGUGCGGAGAAGUUCUUGAGAUUGGAGUUUACAAUUUAAAGGUUAAUUUUUCAAGUCCACAAAAACAAUUCAAACUCAAACUUGAUAAAAAAGAUAUGAAGCAGAAUGUUCCUCCAUACCAUUCAGAAAAUGCAGCUGAUGAUUGGGAAAAGAUGGAACCAGUUGAUAAAGAGGCCAAUGCAACUGAAGCAUCAAAUAGUGGACAGAUAUCACAUGAUGAUAUCGACAUUAAAACCACCCCAUCCCAUGAACCACAGGGGGCCACAUCACCAGAAAAUGUAGCAGAUGUACUGAAGGAAAGCAAAGAUAUUCCUCAUCGUUCAGAAAUUUUUGGAAAUUUGCAGAUUGGUGCAGAAGACAUGUCAGAUGAUCCUGAGAAAAAAUUACCAUGACUGACUUUGCAGGGCAGUGUUCAUAUUAUGCCUCACACCAGAUUUUUCUGAG